AUAAUUUUCUCAACCCAGCUCCCUCAAAAUUGUCAAAAAAAGGAGGAGCAGCAUCACAGAAGAUCACAAACAUCCUGUCAGUUAUGGAUCAGCAUGUCACUAUUGGGAAAAAAGGGAAUGCAUCCUGAAAUCCCUGGCUGAUCUUCUUAAUAAAGAGCCCUCAAACCUCAUGAAGGAGUAUAUGGAUGUUGAAUAUGAAGAUGCCCUAACCUAAAUGGGCAACACCAACCUUGGGAUCAUAACUGAAGGCAUCCGUAUACUUCAAAAUCUAAAUAAUAAUGCCAACAUGCGU